UACGUAGGGUGCAAGCGUUAAUCGGAAUUAUUGGGCGUAUAGGGCGCGUAGGCGGAGAUACAAGUCGAAUGUGAAAUCCCAAAGCUCAACUUUGGAACAGCAUUUGAAACUGUAUUUCUUGAGGGUGGGCGGAGAAAACGGAAUUCCACAAGUAGCGGUGAAAUGCGUAGAUAUGUGGAAGAACACCAGUGGCGAAGGCGGUUUUCUAGCUUACUCCUGACGCUGAGGCGCGAAAGCAAGGGGAUCAAACAGG
rnacentral:rRNA from 1 species